rnacentral:rRNA from 1 species
CCUACGGGGAGGCAGCAGUGGGGAAUAUUGGACAAUGGGCGAAAGCCUGAUCCAGCCAUGCCGCGUGUGUGAAGAAGGCCUUCGGGUUGUAAAGCACUUUCAGUGGGGAAGAAAGCCUUGGGGCUAAUACCCUCGAGGAAGGACAUCACCCACAGAAGAAGCACCGGCUAACUCCGUGCCAGCAGCCGCGGUAAUACGGAGGGUGCGAGCGUUAACCGGAAUUACUGGGCGUAAAGCGCGCGUAGGCGGUCUGAUAAGCCGGUUGUGAAAGCCCCGGGCUCAACCUGGGAACGGCAUCCGGAACUGUCAGGCUAGAGUGCAGGAGAGGAAGGUAGAAUUCCCGGUGUAGCGGUGAAAUGCGUAGAGAUCGGGAGGAAUACCAGUGGCGAAGGCGGCCUUCUGGACUGACACUGACGCUGAGGUGCGAAAGCGUGGGUAGCAAACAGGAUUAGAUACCCGUGUAGUC